rnacentral:rRNA from 1 species
UACGUAGGGCGCAAGCGUUGUCCGGAAUUAUUGGGCGUAAAGAGCUCGUAGGCGGUCGGGUAAGUCUGAUGUGAAAUCUCACAGCUUAACUGUGAAACUGCAUUGGAUACUAUCCGGCUAGAGGAAUGGAGGGGAGACUGGAAUACUUGGUGUAGCAGUGAAAUGCGUAGAUAUCAAGUGGAACACCAGUGGCGAAGGCGAGUCUCUGGACAUUUCCUGACGCUGUGGCACGAAAGCCAGGGGAGCAAACGGG